rnacentral:rRNA from 1 species
UACAGAGGUCCCAAGCGUUGUUCGGAUUCAUUGGGCGUAAAGGGUGCGUAGGUGGCGCCGUAAGUGGGGUGUGAAAUUUCGGAGCUUAACUCCGAAACUGCAUUCCAUACUGCGGUGCUUGAGGACUGGAGAGGAGACUGGAAUUUACGGUGUAGCAGUGAAAUGCGUAGAGAUCGUAAGGAAGACCAGUGGCGAAGGCGGGUCUCUGGACAGUUCCUGACACUGAGGCACGAAGGCCAGGGGAGCAAAACGGG